CCUACGGGAGGUAGCAGUGAGGAAUAUUGGUCAAUGGGCGCUAGCCUGAACCAGCCAAGUAGCGUGAAGGAUGACUGCCCUAUGGGUUGUAAACUUCUUUUAUAUGGGAAUAAAGUGCAGUAUGUAUACUGCUUUGCAUGUACCUUAUGAAUAAGGAUCGGCUAACUCCGUGCCAGCAGCCGCGGUAAUACGGAGGAUCCGCGCGUUAUCCGGAUUUAUUGGGUUUAAAGGGAGCGUAGGCGGGUUGUUAAGUCAGUUGUGAAAGUUUGGGGCUCAACCGUAAAAUUGCAGUUGAUACUGGCAGCCUUGGGUACAGUAGAGGUAGGCGGAAUUCGUGGUGUAGCGGUGAAAUGCUUAGAUAUCACGAAGAACUCCGAUUGCGAAGGCAGCCUGCUGGACUGUAACUGACGCUGAUGCUCGAAAGUGUGGGUAUCAAACAGGAUUAGAUACCCCUGUAGUC
rnacentral:rRNA from 1 species